CUGUGUUGUUAACUGUCUGGUAGGUGUGUCUCAUUACAGUCACUGUCACGUCUUAUCUCAGCAGCUGGGUGGAGUAAAAGUCGGGUCAGCUCAUACUAGUGUGUGUAAUGAAUAGGAUUUCUCAGACAGCUCAAGUUUUGAAUGAACUUGUGGAGAGCAGGCCAGUCCGUUGGAAUGAAUGUCGGAAGUCAUCUCAGUUCUUCUGCUCCUACAACUGAAUAGUAUUUGGACUGCCACAUGGACUGAAAGUGAUUAUUGAAUCUUUUUUUAUUGUUACUUCUAUAAUUUCAUUUUUAAUUCACAUAUUCGGAGCAGUUUGGGUUUUUAAAAACAUACUAAGUUCGUUACUGCUCUGGGGGAAUACUUUCUUAUAAGUAUUCUUCUGUAAGUUUGCUUGUUUUUUCUUGAAGCAGAAGAUGGGAGAAGAUACUCGGGCAUCGCAGGAUAGAAACGCGCAGAGUUCAUUGGACAAUGUGCCACAUUUGGGAGCGGGGGGUCCAGAUGCCGUGGCGCAAAUUGAAUGCUGCAGCAUCCCAAACGGGGACAGCGGCUCCGCCGCCAACACGCGUUUGUACAAGAAGCGCUGGAUGAUCGUGUUACUGUUCAGCGCAUAUUCCCUGAGCAACGCGUACCAAUGGAUCCAGUACGGGAUCAUCAACAACGUAAUGAUGAAGUUCUACAACGUGGAAGCCUUCUCUAUAGACUGGCUGUCCAUGAUCUACAUGCUCACCUACAUCCCAUUCAUCUUCCCGGUCACCUGGCUCCUGGAUAAGAAAGGGCUGCGGGUCACAGCGCUGCUGGCCAACGCGCUCAACUGCGCCGGGACAUGGAUCAAGGUGGCCAGUGCCAAUCCAAACUUGUUCGGGGUGACCAUGCUCGGACAGCUCGCAAGUUCCCUUGCCCAGGUGUUCAUCCUCGGGAUGCCCUCCCGCCUGGCGUCCGUCUGGUUCGGCGCGGAUGAGGUUUCCACCGCCUGCUCCAUCGGAGUUUUUGGGAAUCAGAUGGGUAUCGCCAUUGGGUUCCUGCUCCCACCCAUCCUUGUGCCUAAUGUGGAUGAUAUCAAUGAGCUGGAAAACCACAUCAGAAUCAUGUUCUACAUCAGCGCAGGAGUUGCCACCCUCAUCUUUAUCCUUGUGGUCAUUGUGUUUCAAGAGAGACCGGAGAUCCCUCCCACCCAGGCCCAGGCUCAUGCCAGGAACAUCCCCCCCGGCGAGUACUCGUACACAGCUUCUGUCUUGAGGCUGCUGCGCAACAAGCCCUUUAUGCUCCUGGUGGUCACUUACGGGCUGAACGUCGGCUGCUUCUAUGCUAUUUCCACACUGUUGAAUCAGAUGAUCAUCGAACAAUAUCCUGGUGAAGAAGUGAAUGCUGGGAGAAUUGGGCUGACUAUUGUUGUUGCUGGCAUGGCGGGGUCCAUCAUAUGUGGCAUUUGGCUGGACAAGACCAAAACAUACAAACAAACCACCUUGGCCGUAUAUCUCCUCUCUCUGAUUGGGAUGCUGGUUUACACCUUCACCCUCAACCUGGGUCACCUGUGGGUGGUGUUUGUCACAGCUGGAGUUUUAGGCUUCUUCAUGACAGGAUAUCUACCUCUGGGCUUUGAGUUUGCAGUAGAGCUUACCUAUCCAGAAUCAGAGGGAACCUCGUCUGGACUGCUUAACUGUUCAGCUCAGAUCUUUGGAAUCAUUUUCACCAUCUCCCAAGGGAAGAUUAUUGAUAGAUGGGGCACUUUAGCAGGAAACAUCUUCCUGAGUAGCUUCCUGCUAAUAGGAACAGUUCUGACAGGAUUCAUCAAGUCCAACCUCCGACGCCAGAAGGCCAAUCUACAACAGUCUGAGGUGCAGGCAGUGAGUCCUACAGGCUCUGUGUCAUCGAUGUAGGACUACGGGGCCACAACGUGCAGCGGCCACUGGCAACGGCAGUCUUCACAUAAAACCACAACCUCACUAAAAUCCAAACACACACCUGCCAAGAAAGCGAAAGCUGAUCUAGAAGGAGCCGUCUCUCACCCUGAAGUCCUGAAAGAGAGGAGGUUCUAAGGAGGAUAGACUGUCAAAGAUACCGUGUACAGAUUAAAAUAGAAAUACUGACACAUAAACGUCAAAUAAACAUGCACAGACGGCCACAUAGAAGAAGAAAAAGCUGCUGUGAAGAGUGAGCACAUGGAGAGUGAACAUACUGAGCAGCCUCCUGUUAGGUCUAAAAAACCCUGCAGCCCUGAACACCACACUCUGGCCUGAACACUAGAGUCACACGAAUAUCGCAACUGAAACUUAGCUCAUCCCAAACAAAGCACAAGUCAGUCAUGCACAAGGAAGCUCGAUGGUUUUUACACCCCUACACAAAAUCCUCUUUGUGAAUAUUAUUGUAUCUAAUGUAGGCAUUUUAUAUGUCCUUUCAGUACAAUGCAACAGCAACUUCAGUGACUCCUACAUUACUACACUCUUUCACUUAACUUUCGUAAGCUUUUACAGUCCCCCUCUGAUUAGUGUUAAUGUUGUAUCCCAUGCAUCUAAUGAGCAAUAUUCAAACUGUGGUUCUUCAUAUUGGACCAAUAUUGUGUGUAAGUGAACUGAGUCUUUACACUGCUGAAGCAUUCUAUUGAGUGUUAGUGUUUAAUGCAGACUAAACACUGUGCUGUGUUUUCCUGUCAUGGCAGUCAGAUCAACAAGGCUCCUCUGUGCCUGUCAUUCAGGAUCACAUGGAAGUAUUACUUCUGCAAACUGCUGAUUAUAUAUUUGAUUGAUGCUGUGCAUCAGUUUUGUCCUUGUUUUACUGUAAGUGAUCUCUACAAAAUAAUUGGUGAUACAUAAACUGGAUGAACAUGUGAGAGCCUCUGGAACAUGACUGACAGCACAGCUCAAAACAUGAUGGAAGGCAAGUCGAUCUACUGCAGUUGUCAUUUUGCACAAGAAAAUGUUUUUUUUGUGUAAUACUACUUAGCUUGUAAAAUUGUUAAUGAGAAAUGAAGUUCAUGCUAUGUUAUCAGCAUUUGUAGAGUUUGUUAUUUAGCGUGUUUUACUUGAUAUGUUGUGGCAAGCUGUCUAGUGAGUUUACGGUUUUUAUAAUGAAUGUUGUGAGUUAUUCUUUCAGUGGUGUUUUAGUACAUUUUACAGUGCAGCAUAAAUAUUAAAUGUUUGUCAAAAAACACAAUUACACCCUUGGAAACAAGAUGUCUCACAACUUAUUUUUCACAUGUAGUUUAUAAAUAUAUAUCAUCCCAAAUCUAAUCAUUUCAUUUUCUUAAAGUUUUAUAUGACAAUAAUUCGGUGUAGAAACAUUACAUAAGACAGCACAAACAUUGAGAAAAAUUGAUGAUAUUUGUGUUUAUGAGACUUAGCAAUGAGGAGCAUAGCAUAGAGUCAGAUGAUAUAAAGUCAUCGGAGUUCUUUGGUAGAUCAUCACGUCAAACCAUUUUUGAUUGCACAGUGAACUGUUAAUUUAAUAAACAUUAAAUACA